UGCAGUCGAGCGGAUGAAGGGAGCUUGCUCCUGGAUUCAGCGGCGGACGGGUGAGUAAUGCCUAGGAAUCUGCCUGGUAGUGGGGGAUAACGUCCGGAAACGGGCGCUAAUACCGCAUACGUCCUGAGGGAGAAAGUGGGGGAUCUUCGGACCUCACGCUAUCAGAUGAGCCUAGGUCGGAUUAGCUAGUUGGUGGGGUAACGGCCUACCAAGGCGACGAUCCGUAACUGGUCUGAGAGGAUGAUCAGUCACACUGGAACUGAGACACGGUCCAGACUCCUACGGGAGGCAGCAGUGGGGAAUAUUGGACAAUGGGCGAAAGCCUGAUCCAGCCAUGCCGCGUGUGUGAAGAAGGUCUUCGGAUUGUAAAGCACUUUAAGUUGGGAGGAAGGGCAGUAAGUUAAUACCUUGCUGUUUUGACGUUACCAACAGAAUAAGCACCGGCUAACUUCGUGCCAGCAGCCGCGGUAAUACGAAGGGUGCAAGCGUUAAUCGGAAUUACUGGGCGUAAAGCGCGCGUAGGUGGUUCAGCAAGUUGGAUGUGAAAUCCCCGGGCUCAACCUGGGAACUGCAUCCAAAACUACUGAGCUAGAGUACGGUAGAGGGUGGUGGAAUUUCCUGUGUAGCGGUGAAAUGCGUAGAUAUAGGAAGGAACACCAGUGGCGAAGGCGACCACCUGGACUGAUACUGACACUGAGGUGCGAAAGCGUGGGGAGCAAACAGGAUUAGAUACCCUGGUAGUCCACGCCGUAAACGAUGUCGACUAGCCGUUGGGAUCCUUGAGAUCUUAGUGGCGCAGCUAACGCGAUAAGUCGACCGCCUGGGGAGUACGGCCGCAAGGUUAAAACUCAAAUGAAUUGACGGGGGCCCGCACAAGCGGUGGAGCAUGUGGUUUAAUUCCAAGCAACGCGAAGAACCUUACCUGGCCUUGACAUGCUGAGAACUUUCCAAAAAUGAAUGGUGCC
rnacentral:rRNA from 1 species